rnacentral:rRNA from 1 species
UACAGAGGUCUCAACCGUUGUUCGGAUUCAUUGGGCGUAAAGGGUGCGUAGGCGGUCGCGCAAGUCGGAUGUGAAAUCUUAGGGCUCAACCCUGAAACUGCAUUCGAUACUGCGUGGCUCGAGUACUGGAGAGGAGACUGGAAUUUACGGUGUAGCAGUGAAAUGCGUAGAUAUCGGGAGGAACACCUGUGGCGAAAGCGGCUCACUGGACCAUAACUGACGCUGAUGCACGAAAGCUGGGGGAGCAAACAGG